rnacentral:rRNA from 1 species
UGUGAGCUCGAUGAGUAGGGCGGGACACGUGGUAUCCUGUCUGAAUAUGGGGGGACCAUCCUCCAAGGCUAAAUACUCCUGACUGACCGAUAGUGAACCAGUACCGUGAGGGAAAGGCGAAAAGAACCCCGGCGAGGGGAGUGAAAAAGAACCUGAAACCGUGUACGUACAAGCAGUGGGAGCCUCUUAAUGGGGUGACUGCGUACCUUUUGUAUAAUGGGUCAGCGACUUAUAUUCUGUAGCAAGGUUAACCGAAUAGGGGAGCCGAAGGGAAACCGAGUCUUAACUGGGCGUUAAGUUGCAGGGUAUAGACCCGAAACCCGGUGAUCUAGCCAUGGGCAGGUUGAAGGUUGGGUAACACUAACUGGAGGACCGAACCGACUAAUGUUGAAAAAUUAGCGGAUGACUUGUGGCUGGGGGUGAAAGGCCAAUCAAACCGGGAGAUAGCUGGUUCUCCCCGAAAGCUAUUUAGGUAGCGCCUCGUGAAUUCAUCUCCGGGGGUAGAGCACUGUUUCGGCAAGGGGGUCAUCCCGACUUACCAACCCGAUGCAAACUGCGAAUACCGGAGAAUGUUAUCACGGGAGACACACGGCGGGUGCUAACGUCCGUCGUGAAGAGGGAAACAACCCAGACCGCCAGCUAAGGUCCCAAAGUCAUGGUUAAGUGGGAAACGAUGUGGGAAGGCCCAGACAGCCAGGAUGUUGGCUUAGAAGCAGCCAUCAUUUAAAGAAAGCGUAAUAGCUCACUGGUCGAGUCGGCCUGCGCGGAAGAUGUAACGGGGCUAAACCAUGCACCGAAGCUGCGGCAGCGACACUAAGUGUUGUUGGGUAGGGGAGCGUUCUGUAAGCCUGUGAAGGUGUACUGUGAGGUAUGCUGGAGGUAUCAGAAGUGCGAAUGCUGACAUAAGUAACGAUAAAGCGGGUGAAAAGCCCGCUCGCCGGAAGACCAAGGGUUCCUGUCCAACGUUAAUCGGGGCAGGGUGAGUCGACCCCUAAGGCGAGGCCGAAAGGCGUAGUCGAUGGGAAACAGGUUAAUAUUCCUGUACUUGGUGUUACUGCGAAGGGGGGACGGAGAAGGCUAUGUUGGCCGGGCGACGGUUGUCCCGGUUUAAGCGUGUAGGCUGGUUUUCCAGGCAAAUCCGGAAAACUAAGGCUGAGGCGUGAUGACGAGGCACUACGGUGCUGAAGCAACAAAUGCCCUGCUUCCAGGAAAAGCCUCUAAGCAUCAGGUAACCAUCAAAUCGUACCCCAAACCGACACAGGUGGUCAGGUAGAGAAUACCAAGGCGCUUGAGAGAACUCGGGUGAAGGAACUAGGCAAAAUGGUGCCGUAACUUCGGGAGAAGGCACGCUGAUAUGUAGGUGAAGCGACUUGCUCGUGGAGCUGAAAUCAGUCGAAGAUACCAGCUGGCUGCAACUGUUUAUUAAAAACACAGCACUGUGCAAACACGAAAGUGGACGUAUACGGUGUGACGCCUGCCCGGUGCCGGAAGGUUAAUUGAUGGGGUUAGCGGUAACGCGAAGCUCUUGAUCGAAGCCCCGGUAAACGGCGGCCGUAACUAUAACGGUCCUAAGGUAGCGAAAUUCCUUGUCGGGUAAGUUCCGACCUGCACGAAUGGCGUAAUGAUGGCCAGGCUGUCUCCACCCGAGACUCAGUGAAAUUGAACUCGCUGUGAAGAUGCAGUGUACCCGCGGCAAGACGGAAAGACCCCGUGAACCUUUACUAUAGCUUGACACUGAACAUUGAGCCUUGAUGUGUAGGAUAGGUGGGAGGCUUUGAAGUGUGGACGCCAGUCUGCAUGGAGCCGGCCUUGAAAUACCACCCUUUAAUGUUUGAUGUUCUAACGUUGGCCCCUGAUCGGGGUUGCGGACAGUGUCUGGUGGGUAGUUUGACUGGGGCGGUCUCCUCCUAAAGAGUAACGGAGGAGCACGAAGGUUGGCUAAUCCUGGUCGGACAUCAGGAGGUUAGUGCAAUGGCAUAAGCCAGCUUGACUGCGAGCGUGACGGCGCGAGCAGGUGCGAAAGCAGGUCAUAGUGAUCCGGUGGUUCUGAAUGGAAGGGCCAUCGCUCAACGGAUAAAAGGUACUCCGGGGAUAACAGGCUGAUACCGCCCAAGAGUUCAUAUCGACGGCGGUGUUUGGCACCUCGAUGUCGGCUCAUCACAUCCUGGGGCUGAAGUAGGUCCCAAGGGUAUGGCUGUUCGCCAUUUAAAGUGGUACGCGAGCUGGGUUUAGAACGUCGUGAGACAGUUCGGUCCCUAUCUGCCGUGGGCGCUGGAGAACUGAGGGGGGCUGCUCCUAGUACGAGAGGACCGGAGUGGACGCAUCACUGGUGUUCGGGUUGUCAUGCCAAUGGCACUGCCCGGUAGCUAAAUGCGGAAGAGAUAAGUGCUGAAAGCAUCUAAGCACGAAACUUGCCCCGAGAUGAGUUCUCCCUGACUCCUUGA